GAUCCUGGCUCAGAAUCAACGCUGGCGGCGUGCCUAACACAUGCAAGUUGAACGAGAAAGUGGAGCAAUCCAUGAGUAGAGUGGCAAACGGGUGAGUAACGCGUGGGUGACCUACCUUMGARUGGGGGAUAACGUCCCGAAAGGGACGCUAAUACCGCAUAACAUCCUGCCUUUGAACAGGUGGAGAUCAAAGCCGGGGAUCGCAAGACCUGGCGYUUGAAGAGGGGCCCGCGUCUGAUUAGCUAGUUGGUGAGGUAACGGCCCACCAAGGCGACGAUCAGUAUCCGGCCUGAGAGGGCGGACGGACACACUGGGACUGASACACGGCCCAGACUCCUACGGGAGGCAGCAG
rnacentral:rRNA from 1 species